GAUCAGACGCGCGUCUGGUGGGUUGCGCCGCGCGAGAUCUCCUCCCCCUUUCCUUCGAUCAUUUUCUUUCUGUUUCCUCCGCUCCUUCUUUCCCACGAUCUGGUGCCUCUUUUCCUCUUUCCUUGCCAAAAAGAAACAACUUCCUCGAUCCCCUGUUCCGCCGCCGUGCGACCACAGCAGCCACAUCAUGGCGGCGCGACGAAGCAGCCCACGCCGGCGCCUCACUGCCGCUCCCCUCUCCCUCUAACCUUGCUCCGCCACCCGCCGCUCGGCGCCUUCCGCUCCGCCCGUCGGCCUUCUCCUCCGUGGAUCUCGGCUGGUCGAUCCUGCCCGUGGGCGCGUGGCUGGACCGCCCGACAUCUCAACUCCGGCGCCAACCGGCUCUGCUCCGGCUCUUCCGCCAUCCUGCUCGCCUGCCCCCGACUGGCUCGCCUGCCUCCCGUGCGACCUAUUACCUCCACAACAACAAAAAUGUUCCUUGAAUUUCUAAAUCAGAAAGAGUGAUGCUCAAUGAGAUUUAGGUCAUGCUAAGACAUCGACAAUCAAUGCCGACAAGCCUCCACUAUCUAUUGUGGAAAUUAACAACUGUGUUGAGCAAUUCGGAAAUGCAGGUACAAAAAGAAAAUUACUCACCACUGAAAUGAGAAAUGUAUGGCUUUGUUCGCAACUGUGCCUGACAAAUAUAGAAAUUCGUAAGAAACUAAUCUCUUCUGCACUAUACAUGAGGCGAUACACAAGCUGAUCUCAUUAGGCGAAAUGCAGGCUGAAUCCUGGCUGAUAUGUGUAUAGUUCAGUGGCGUAGCAUCCUGUUUUUUCCCAAUGUAUUUGACUUGAUACUUCCUCGCGUUUUGUUAGACAUACUUCUGUAGUCCCCUUUGGGUAACGCGGGUGUACACUGAGUGAAAAGCUGACAUGAUCCAGAUAUUGUUUAGUCUUGUGAAAGGCGGUGUGUAUAUUGGUACAGAAAAAGCCUAGAUUGUACUGAUUUUGGCAGGCAAGCAUACAGUUUUUAGGAGUAUACUAACUUGUAGCCUUUGAUCUUUCUUAUGUUGAAAUUACAUUUUCUCUCGUUAA